rnacentral:tRNA from 1 species
AAUUAUAUAGUUUAAACUAAAACUAUAAUCUUGUAAAUUAUAAAUAGAUAAAUAAUCUUAUAAUUA